GCCGGGUGUGGUGGCGAGUGCCUGUAAUCCUAGCUACUUGGGAGGCUGAGGCAGGAGAAUUGCUUGAACCCGGGAGGCAGGGGUUGCAGUGAGCCGAGGUUGCGCCACUGCACACCAUCCUGGGGGACAAAGUGAGACUUUGUCUCAA
ensembl:misc_RNA Metazoa_SRP Metazoan signal recognition particle RNA